rnacentral:rRNA from 1 species
CUGGCGGCGUGCCUAACACAUGCAAGUCGAACGAGAAAGGGGACGUUCGGUCCCUCGAGUACAGUGGCGCACGGGUGAGUAACACGUGACUUAUCUACCCUCGAGUGGGGAAGUAAACUUCGGGAAACCGAGGCUAAUACCGCAUAAUACCCACGGGUCAAGGAAGCAAUUCGCUUGAGGAGGAGGUCGCGGCCCGAUUAGUUAGUUGCGGGGUAAUGGCCCCACCCAAGACGGUGAUCCGGUAUCCGGCCUGAGAGGGCGCACGGACACACUGGAACUGAAACACGGUCCAGACUCCUACGGGAGGCAGCAGUGGGGAAUUUUGCGCAAUGGGGGAAACCCUGACGCAGCAACGCCGCGUGGAGGAUGAAGUCUCUUGGGACGUAAACUCCUUUCGAUCGGGACGAUUAUGACGGUACCGGAAGAAGAAGCCCCGGCUAACUUCGUG